AGAGUUUGAUCCUGGCUCAGGAUGAACGCUGGCGGCGUGCCUAACACAUGCAAGUCGAACGGAGAUUACGGACGGAAGUUUUCGGAUGGAAGCCUGUAAUUCUUAGUGGCGGACGGGUGAGUAACGCGUGGGCAACCUGCCCUAUACAGGGGGAUAGCAGCUGGAAACGGCUGGUAAGACCGCAUAAGUCGGUUAAAUCGCAUGAUUUGAUCGGGAAAUGAGCAAUCAGGUAUAGGAUGGGCCCGCGUCCGAUUAGCCAGUUGGCAGGGUAAAAGCCUACCAAAGCGACGAUCGGUAGCCGGACUGAGAGGUCGGACGGCCACAUUGGGACUGAGACACGGCCCAAACUCCUACGGGAGGCAGCAGUGGGGGAUAUUGCACAAUGGGGGGAACCCUGAUGCAGCGACGCCGCGUGAGUGAAGAAGUAUUUCGGUAUGUAAAGCUCUAUCAGCAGGGAAGAAAAUGACGGUACCUGACUAAGAAGCCCCGGCUAACUACGUGCCAGCAGCCGCGGUAAUACGUAGGGGGCAAGCGUUAUCCGGAUUUACUGGGUGUAAAGGGAGCGCAGGCGGUUUUGCAAGUUGAGAGUGGAAGCAGGGGGCUCAACCCCCUGACUGCUCCCAAAACUGUAAAACUUGAGUAUGGGAGAGGCAGGCGGAAUUCCUAGUGUAGCGGUGAAAUGCUUAGAUAUUAGGAAGAACACCGGUGGCGAAGGCGGCCUGCUGGACCAAAACUGACGCUGAGGCUCGAAAGCGUGGGUAGCAAACAGGAUUAGAUACCCUGGUAGUCCACGCUGUAAACGAUGAAUACUAGGUGCUGGGAGGCAUAAGCUUUUCGGUGCCGUCGCAAACGCAUUAAGUAUUCCACCUGGGGAGUACGUUCGCAAGAAUGAAACUCAAAGGAAUUGACGGGGACCCGCACAAGCGGUGGAGCAUGUGGUUUAA
rnacentral:rRNA from 1 species